AUGUUCCCUAAGCACCUGCUCCAUGUUGGACCUUGGCAUGUUUAUUACAAAUUACAGUAUAACUUGGGUCCGCCUCCUUCCCCCAGGUUUUGUGGGAGGAGCUGUCUGCAUUGGUGGAGCCUUGUCUUUUGCAUAAUUCAGAGUUGUGGCCCAGAGGAAACGGCAGUUUCCACAGGCAGAAUGCGGUUUGAAUUCUCGUACUGCAUUUUCAUAUUCACAGACUUCUUAACUGGGGAGAGUCCCGACCCACUGUGUGGAGUUCAUGAAGAUGAAAUGGCUCCUCUCGAGGCAGGAGUGAAGGGGGCACAGGGAGGAAAUGCCCACUGCCAGAAGCAGUCCUGUGCCUGCUCAGCGCGCAGCCUAGGAGACCUUGUUAGCGAGAAGGGAGGCCUGGGCGCUGAGCUUUCACUCGGAGCUGGCCUGGGGCUGGGAGCACUUGCCAUUUCUUUAAAGGGUCCUGGGUGUCAGAGAAGCCUGCGUUCCUUGCCCUCGGGAGGGGAGAGACCAGUGAGGACAAGGCGCCUUUGGCAGGUAAGCAAGGCAUGUAAGUACGGCUGUGACAGGGUCCCCAGGGAGACAGAGGCAUGCUUUCGUGGGGGGUAUGGGAGGGGCAGGGGCAGCGGGGAGGGCUUCCAUGAGCAAGUGCUGUGCUCACCCUGGGUCCCCGGGGCGCCCAGAGGCUGCUGGCCGAGCGUGAAGAGCUCCAGGCAGAAGGAAGAGAACUCCGGACGUGGAAACAGAAGUGCAUGGAGCGGAAGUUUAAGAGGCAGAAUUUGCUGGAUGUGGGUGGCAAGGGAGAGGGGAGUGGCCUGGGUGAUGGGGCCAGGAGAGGGACGACUCACUGCGCCCGUUAUCGCUGGCUAG
rnacentral:lncRNA from 1 species